UUUUAUUAAUGCAAUUAGAAAUAAAAAAGAAAGAAAAUUACUUGUUAAUUGAAGAAACGUUUUUUAUUUAAGCGUUACAAUACACGUGUCCCUCAUUGAAAGAGUUUUGCGGUUUUCUCUAUCUCUCUCUCGACGGAUCUGUUCAACGUUUCUUCACUUCACCUCUUUCUCAGUUGCUUUCUUCGACGACUCCGCCUUUCUCUUUGUGGCUCUCCUCGACGAUGAAAAGCCUCUAUCUCUGUGGCUCUCUCUCGACGAUGAAUCACUCCGCUUUUCUCUCGGUGGCUCUCCUCGACGAUGAAAAACUUCUAUCUCUCUCUCGAUGGCUCUCCUCGGCGAAGAAUCACUCCACCUCUCUUUCAAUGGAUGGAUCAAGAGACAUGAGCAUUGUUUAUAUUCGUCAAACAAGAGGACUACAAUUUCAAUACAUGUCUUGAAAGUGUGAAAGAGUGAAGUCUUGGGAGUGGAAGAAUCACAGACUGAAGUAAAGUCUUGGGAGUGGAAGAAUCACGGACUGAAGUGAAGUCUUUUAUUCUUGUGUAAACUAUGUAUUCUUGUAUUCUUGUCAUGUGUCACGUACUACCAAAGUUGUAUUAUUCACUUUGUAUUCAUCAGUUCUAUUUUAAGUUUGUAUUCAUCAAAGUUUUAGUCACAUAGUUCUAU